AUUAACUAUUUUGUAAUCAAUAACAUUGGGCAUCUGUUCUUAUCAGUUUAAUAUCUGAUAUAUGGGUCAUCGGCUCACACGAUAUUAACUCAAUUUUUUAAGGGGGAGAGUCCAUUAAGGUAGCUUGCUACUUGGGCUCUCACAUGUCGCCCAUGCGUAGCACUAUUGCACGGGCCUUGCGCACUUCAC